UUCAAGGGGAUGUUCGAGAUAACACUAAUGGAACCGUCACUCCCACUGGGAAACUGAGUACAAUCUUCAACCAAGUUUAUUAAAAACCUCACACUCUUGGGAAAUAAAUCAUAAUCUCUGCAAUUCCCCAGUUACCCUAACUACCCAUGGGAGACAGAGACAGACUCACCGAUCGCGACCGUGAAAGAGACCGCGACCGAGACCGAGACCGAGAAAGACGCCGCGAUAAAGAAGACCGCGACCGGGACCGGACCCGAAUCACCCGCUCUCGCACGCGCUCACCAGACCGCAUGCGUUCCCGAAACAGGCGCUCUCGUUCUCGCUCUCCAGACCGGUCUCAUAGAUCUCACCGCCGCCACCGCCACCAGAGGACUCCAUCCUCGUCACCGCCGCGAAAGCGACAUCGACCCGAGAGCGAUGACGAUAGAGAGAGGGAAAAGCAAAGAGCGGCGGUUUUCGAUUUUGUAGACGGGAUAGCGAGAGAGCAAUUAGAGAAGAACGAAAGUGAUAAUAAUGAUAAUGGAAUGGGAGAGGGUGGGGGUUUGAUGGAUGAGGAUGAGAUGGAGAUGAUGAAGAAAUUAGGGAUUCCAACGGGGUUUGAUUCGACGAAAGGGAAGCCGGUGCCUGGUGCGGAUGUUAGUGGAGUUAAAGCCGUUACGAAACGGCAGCCUAGGCAGUAUAUGAAUCGUAGAGGAGGGUUUAAUCGGCCCUUGCCCCUGGAGCGGAAUCGCUGAUACUGUUUUCACAAGAUUGCAAAUAUCUUCUAGCAUGAGAUGACUCAGCGGUGCUGUGAUCAUGGUUGUAUUCCAUCAGUAGGGCCUUGAUGAAAGACCUUUGCAAUGCCUUGAGGACCAUAGUGACUUGUUAAGGCUGCUAAUUCUUUUUGUUUGUAGAUAUGGAUGGUUUUCUGGUGAGAGCAAUUGCAGGUAAUGGCUAGUAUUGUGUGAGCAUGAAGAUGGGUUUUGAACCCAAGGCCCCAAGUACCAGACUGGUGAGGGUUUGGCACCUAGACUUGGUGCUUUUUUUGUUGUAGAUGCUCAUACAAAUUGGUGACUACAUUCUUUCAUGGUAUUUACGACCUCUGAAUAAAGAUUUUGACAGUCGUUGAAUCAA